GCAUAAUAAUUAGUCUUUUAAUUGGUGACUGGAAUGAAUGAAUUUAUAAAAUUAAUACUUUAUUUAUUUUAUAUAUAAAAUUUAAUUUUUAAGUGAAGAAGCUUAUAUUAUUAUAUGGGACAAGAAGACCCUAAUGAUCUUUAUUUUUAUAAAUUUAUAUUUAAUAAUUGUUUAUUAAAAUAAAAUUUUAUAAAAAUUUUACUGGGGCGGUAAUAUUAUAGUUUAAUUUUUAAACUUAUAUUUUUAAAAAGAUAUUAAUCUAUAUUUAUGAUCCUAAUUUAUGAUUAAUUGAAAAAGAUACCAUAGGGAUAACAGGCUAAUUAUUUUAGAUAGUUUAUAUUGAAAAAAUAGA
rnacentral:rRNA from 1 species